GACGAACGCUGGCGGCGUGCUUAACACAUGCAAGUCGAACGGAAAGGCCCUGCUUUUGUGGGGUGCUCGAGUGGCGAACGGGUGAGUAACACGUGAGUAACCUGCCCUUGUCUUUGGGAUAACUUCAGGAAACUGGGGCUAAUACCGGAUAGGAGCUCCUGCUGCAUGGUGGGGGUUGGAAAGUUUCGGCGGUUGGGGAUGGACUCGCGGCUUAUCAGCUUGUUGGUGGGGUAGUGGCUUACCAAGGCUUUGACGGGUAGCCGGCCUGAGAGGGUGACCGGCCACAUUGGGACUGAGAUACGGCCCAGACUCCUACGGGAGGCAGCAGUGGGGAAUAUUGCACAAUGGGAGGAAGCCUGAUGCAGCAACGCCGCGUGCGGGAUGACGGCCUUCGGGUAGUAAACCGCUUUCGCCUGUGACGAAGCGUGAGUGACGGUAAUGGGUAAAGAAGCACCGGCUAACUACGUG
rnacentral:rRNA from 1 species